rnacentral:tRNA from 1 species
GGCGGUAUGGCCAAGUGGUAAGGCAGAGGAUUGCAAAUCUUUUAUCCCCAGUUCGAGUCUGGGUACCGCCUA